rnacentral:rRNA from 1 species
UAGCUUGCUAAAGAUAGUAAAGUGGCGCACGGGGGAGUAACGCGUGGGUAAUCUACCUCCGAAUCGGGGAUAACCCGCCGAAAGGCGAGCUAAUACCGGAUAAUAUCUAUAAAAUUUCGGUUUUAAAGAUCAAAGGGGGUCUCUACAUGUAAGCUACUGUUUGGAGAUGAGCCCGCGUACCAUUAGCUUUUUGGUAGGGUAAUGGCCUACCAAGGCUUCGAUGGUUAGCUGGUCUGAGAGGAUGAUCAGCCACACUGGAACUGACACACGGUCCAGACUCCUACGGGAGGCAGCAGUGAGGAAUUUUGCGCAAUGGGGGAAACCCUGACGCAGCAACGCCGCGUGAGUGAUGAAGGCUUUCGGGUCGUAAAGCUCUGUCAAGUGGGAAGAACAUGCUUGAUGCUAAUACCAUCUUGCACUGACGGUACCACUGAAGGAAGCACCGGCUAACUCCGUGCCAGCAGCCGCGGUAAUACGGGGGGGGCAAGCGUUAUUCGGAGUUAUUGGGCGUAAAGGGCGCGUAGGCGGUCUCUUAAGUCAGAUGUGAAAGCCCGGGGCUUAACCCCGGAAGUGCAUUUGAAACUAAGGGACUUGAGUAUGGGAGAGGGAAGUGGAAUUCCUGGGGUAGAGGUGAAAUUCGUAGAUAUCAGGAGGAACACCGGGGGCGAAGGCGACUUCCUGGACCAAUACUGACGCUGAGGCGCGAAGGCGUGGGGAGCAAACAGGAUUAGAUACCCUGGUAGUCCACGCAGUAAACGGGGAACACUAGGUGUAGCGGGUAUUGACCCCUGCUGUGCCGUAGCUAACGCAUUAAGUGUUCCGCCUGGGGAGUACGGUCGCAAGAUUAAAACUCAAAGGAAUUGACGGA